GGACGCCGGGCGCCCUUUCACUUCCGGGUUCCCGGGUGGGCGGGUCUUCCCGGGGCAGAAGCUCUGGCGGUCUUCUUCCGCUGGGGUCUGGGGCUUUACCUCGGCCUGCCGCUGGCUUUCUGUUCUUGGGCGAGUCUGGCCUCUGCUGGGAGCACUUCCUUUCACGGAUGUUCAGGGUUUCCAGCAGAACUUGCUCUCAGUUGUUCCCUCUACGCCCCCCAUCCCUUGCUGGUUGAGUAAAAACUGCUGAAGCCAGCCAUAACGUCUUUAGGGGUCAUGAGACGUCGCCCUUAAGAGACAAUCGCUUUCUAAUUAAGUUCCUUUAAGAACAGCUACUUUCUAUCAUAAUAUGUUUUGCUUAGCUUUGGUUUAUCGAAUCCUCAUCCUACCAGCCCUGUAACUGGAAGGAAGCCUUAAGAAUGGCAUCCAGGACAAUUGCAUUAAAUAAGUUCUCAGGAGAAUGUAUAGGCACCGUUUUUGGUCCAGUUCCCUUCUCCCCCUGAACUGGAUCGUGGACAAGCACGAGCUUUAGCCUAACCUUUCAACCUUUCUCAAGACCCGGUUUCUUUGAGCCAGCUUUCACAGUGCUGUAUUAAAAAUCAUGUUUUCUUUGCCUGGCUUCCUUUCCCACAGUGUUGUAUUGAAAACUCUCGUUUCCUUUGCUGGGCUUCACCUCCUCCCCCUUUCCUCCUACCACCCAGUGUCCCCCAGCCCAGCUUUGCAUUUGAAUCCUGCUUUUGCUCGGAGGUUAAAUGUAAACCCCAUUGGGCCUUUGUAAUAUGAUUAAGAAUGUUGCUGAUGUAAUUUGUAUGAACUCCCUACUUGUAAAAACGACCUUUAAAAGUAACUGCCUGUCUGCAAUUGGUGGGCAGUCCUGGUAGCAGCAGCUCGGACUGUCUCUUUUUCCUUGUACAAUGAAAUGUAGGUUCCUUUCCUGUUCUGCCACCUUGGUCUCUUGUUUAUUGGCCAAUAAGAGUCAUGCUGAGCAAGAACCUGGGUUUUCCACCCAGCAACAGUUCUGCCAAGCCAGUCAGGAGCCAUCUGCUUAGUUCCUGAAGUGGAUCAGAAAACAGACUGACCCCAAUGUCUGGCUCAACCAGAUUUCUCCUGGAGACCUUGGAGCAGCUCUGAAAAGCAAUUCCCCCUGGGACCCAAUCUUUGGCUUUGUGAGAGACAUGAAAUGUGCCUGGGUUAUUUGGGAUUCUAAAACCAUGAAUCCAGUCAACCUCGAGGAGACCUGGACUGUGGAGCAGAAGCCGGCAAAAAGAGAGACCCUAUCUUCUGGACCCAAGCAUUUGCACUCCAUGUCCCUUUAACAGUGGUGGGGUUGUUUCCCGUUUCUGGAUGUUACAAGAAAGCUGCUGUGAACUAUGUGUACAAGUACAACACCAAAAGUAUGGUCUAUAAAAGAAGAAACUGAUAAACUGGACUUCAGAAAAAUUAAAAAUGUCAGCUCUUCAAAAGACACUGCUAAGAGAACAAAAAGACAAACCACAGACUGGGAGAAAAUCUUUGCAAAAUAUAUAUCUGAUAAAGGAUUUGUAUCCAGAAUAUACAAAGAACUCUCAAAAAUGAGAAAACAAACAUUCUGUUUAAAAAUGGACAACGUAUUUUAACAAAACCUCACCAAAGAAGAUUUACAGAUGACAAAUAAGCACAUGAAAAGAUGCUCGAUGUUAUUAGUCAUUCAGGCCAGCAUUUAUUCUCUCUCAGAGCAUGGCACUGCCGAGACUGUGGGAAAUGAAAGAGGAAUAAGAUUUGUGUUCACUGCUCGCAUUGCACAUGUUGAGCGCCCAUUAUCUGCCUCUCACUGCUCAUUUUAUCUGUGGAGAUUCUGAUUUAGGAUGGAAUACAGACACAUGAAUGUACAUCUUCACUUCUCCCUCUAGUUUAAACCUAUUAAUGUGAUAGAAAUGAAUUAAAAUCCCCAACAAGAAGAGAAUGGGCAGAGGACAACAGUGGACAAGGGAUUUCCACACAUUUCUGGAAGAUGGAAAGUGGAUAUAAUCAUCUCUUGUAAUGGAACAGCAGACAGAGGCAGCUACAGAGGAAUAUGCCAGACAGCAGGGAUAGAGGAGGCACCCAGCCCAACUGCCAGAGCCCAGAGGGGCCCCAGGCUUGGAACCUGGAGCAGUAAUGCGGGGCAGGGAUGAGAAGUGUGACAGAAAACAGGGAGAUUAAAGGUUUGUAAUGGAACAGAUUUCAUUUUACUUGGAUCCACAAUCAACGCCCAUGGAAGCAGCAGUCAAGAAGUCAAACGACAUUGCAUUGGGAAAAUCUGCUGCAAAAGACCUCUUUUAAGUGUUAAAAAGGAAAGAUGUCACUUUAAGGACUAAGUUGCGCCUGACCCAUGCCAUGGUGUUUUCAAGCACCUCAUAUGCAUGCAAAAGCUGAGCAAUGAAUAAGGAAGACAGAAGAAUUGAUGCCUUUGAAUUAUGGUGUUGGUGAAGAACAUGGAAUGAACCGCCAAAAGAACAAACAAGUCUGUCUUAGAAGAAGUACAACCAGAGUGCUGCUUAGAGGCAAGGAUGGUGAGACUGCAUCUCAUAUACUCUGGACAUGUGAGGAGAGAUCAGUCCCUGGAGAAGGACAUUAUGAUUGGUAAAGUACAGGGACAGUGCAAAAGAGGAAGACCCUCAACAAGAUGUACUGACACAGUGGCUGCAACAGUGGGCUCAAGCAUGACAAUGAUCAUGAGGAUGGUGCAGGACUGGCCAGUGUUUUGUUCUACUGCAGUAGUUGGCUCUGAGCUCUGCUAGGGAAACCACAUGUCCCGGCAGGCAGGGGCCACAACCAGCCACGCUCUUACCUCAGCGCCCCUGAAACACUGCUUUGAAGUCCCUAGAUAGCAUCCUCUCUUGUUCCCCUUGGGGGCUCUUCUCUCCUAAGCCCUAACCAAGUCCAAGCCCAAAUUCAGCUGAUGGUGCUGUUCUGAGUUUACAAAGAAGUUAGAGGUUAUCAGGCUUGAUUUCCCCAUCAUCUUGUCCCUCCACUCAAACACUUACCUGCAUCUGUCCCCAUUCUUACCUCCCUCCUCUUGUCAAAGGUUAAUCCACCAACCUGUGCUCUGGCCCUCUCCUUUCCCUCAGGAACCUCCAUCAGCCAUGGUGCUGUCUCUAAAGACUUUCAUGGGCUCUGGAUGGGCUGCGUAGGUCACUUCAAGAGAGGACUUAUCCCAGCUGCUGGCAGCACUGUUAGCAGAAAGACUGCUGUUACGUCCUGCAGAGUCUGCACCAGCUGCAGAGAGAGCAGCUUUACCCAAGGCCUUUCACUUCCCAGGGCAGCCCAUAUUUAAUGCCAGAUGGAGGCAGGAGCAUACAGGCCAGGCCAUUCAGACCAGUGCAGGACAGUGCUGCCAGGUCCCCUUAGCUCCAGUGUGCCCAGGGGCCUGUGGAGCCUGUGGGGUUCGCAUUGCCACUUCAUUUCUCCCUCCCUUUGCCCAGUCGUUCUUCCCCCACCACCACCUCAGGGUUGAUCCCAAGUACACUCUCUAAUAAACAUCCUACACACUGAAUUCCCAGUCAGAGUUUGCUUCCUAAAGGCCCAGUCUGUGACAGGUGAUGUCAGAAGUAGUUCCAGAAAGCAGGCAAUAGUGAAGGGUCUUGGAGCUGAAUCACUCCCUGUGAGGCUGGCAUUGAGGGCCCCGUCACUGGUGGGAGCCUCCUGAGUCAGGGAGCGGUCUUACUGUGAAAACUUGCACCAGUGGUGAAUGGUGGGGGGCAGUCUAGUAAAGAGAACCCCCCUGCUGGUGAUCUCCGUGCACUUAAAAAGUAUGCGGAGAUAGCAACUAUGAGGACAGGAGAGCAGAUGGCUAUUGUUAGACAAUUGAUUCUCUAGUGGUUCUCCAAGUAUGGUCCUGAAAACUUGUUAGAGAUGCACAUUCCAGGGCCCCACCCUAGACCUACUGAAUCAGAAACUCUGGAAAUGGGACUCAACAAUCUGUGUUUUAAAAAGCCCCCCCAGGGAAUUCUAACGUGGAUUCAAGCUUGGGAGCCACUUCUCUAGACAAGGCUGAGAGUGUUUAACAGGCCAGUAAAAGCCAAGUGCAAAAGCCAGAGGGCAUCCUUGAGUGUACAAGGCUUACCUGCUGCAGCUCAAGGGCUGAGAAAGCCUAGGAACAAAUAGAAGCCUUAAUCACUACAGUGGCUCAGCCCAGAGAAGGUUAAACCCAACCAGAGCAGGUCUGCAUACCAAGGUCUAGACCCUGAUUGUGAAAGAAUGGGACCCUGACACAUGGUAUAGUGUUAACUAGAUGAAUGUCUCUGAAAAUCUUGAGUUUCCAGACUCCUCUGAACCCUUCUAGCCUGCAGCAGUGCACCUCUCCUCACCCCCAUAUCAAGAUCUUGUGCUCCCUUCAUUGUUUGAAGAUGGUGCAUUGAAGACAGACCUUUCUUGCUGCAAGACAACACAGGCCCUUUUUAGAGUCUGUCCCCAUCACCCCUCUCGGACCAUAACCAGGGUUGAGUAGCAACAUAACCAACAUACUAGGCCUGAAAAGGGAAGAAAGGGCCUAUACUCACAAAGGAGCUACAAGUCUUAGCUAGCAUGUACCAGGAGCCUAGCCGGAGCCAGGGGAAUAAGUUGGUGAACGCGGUGGUAGCUCUCCCUGUAAACUAGAACUGAGAGGAGGAGAGGCCAUUACAGAACUAAGUUACUGAUAGCAACAGGGGUGAUACAUCCCCCAAAACCAUAAGGGCCAAGCAGUGAUGAACCAUGAGCAGCUGGUAGGUACAAUAUUGCAAGGUCAGACUGGUAACCAAGGGGGCUCAACUGCAGAGACUUGGGGAGAUAGUUAAUAGAACAUGGAACUCCUAGAGGCAAAAUCAAUUGGCAGCCAGCAAGGGUACUAUUCAACUUAUAUGGUCAGAAGAAAUCAAGGAAAGGUGAUUAGGAGGCUAAGGUCAGUCACCCCAAUAAAAUAUUAUGAUCCUAUGCUCAGUUUCUGGACCUGAAACCCACUAAUUAGAGGUGCCACUGCCACACCAUGGCAAGUGUACCCAGUAAUGUUUGCUCCAGCCCCUCUCCAAAGGAACCAAUGGUCACUUAGGUAACAGUACACUAGGCAAGAGGCAUACCAAAACAAUCCAAGGACUGCUGGAGACUGUUAGGCUGGGUUUUCUAGAGAAGCAAAACCAGUAUAGCAGAUAAAUAGAGAGAGAGAGAGAUUUAUAUUAAGGAAAUGACUCACAUGUUUGUAGAGACUGGUGCAUACCAAGUCCAUGGGCCAAGCUGCAGGCUUCUUCUGGUUUAUAUAGCCACAGGGGCUGGUGAACCCAAGAUCAGCCAGUCAGACAGCAGGGCUCUGGCUCACAAGCUGCAAAGACCAGUGAAUCCCAAGAUCGGCAGGCAAGACAAUCUCCUUUAAGAUAUAAAAAAGAGAAGCAAGCAUAGAAACAUGGGGACCUCAUACCACUAACAAAUAAGAGCCAGGAAAAUAGCAUAUCCUUUAGACCUGGGGUCUCUGCCCUGAGAAGCUCCUCAACUGGAGAAGAUUGUUGACAAGGACCUUCCACCAGAGCCAACAGAGAGAGAAGCCUUUCCCCUUGAGCUGGCACCCUGAGUUCAGACUUCUAGCCUACUAGACUGGGAGAAUAAACUUCUGUUUGUUGAAGCCAUCCACUUGUGGUAUUUCUGCUAUAGCAGUACUAGAUAACUAAGACAGAAUUUGGUAAACUGCUAGCUCAAAUCCCAAGAAACGGAUGUCAGAAGAACAGGAGCCAGCUGCAGGAUCCAGAGUCUGCAAAAGCCCAGGAGCCUUGCGAGAAAGUCCACUUGUAUUGGAUGCAGGCCACACCCCCCAGGAAACUCCCUUUACACUGAUUGGAUACUCACAGCAGAUCCCAUCAUGGAGGCAAUCACAUUAUAUCAGAUCUCAUCCUGGAGGUCAUUUCAAUAUUAUAUGACCGCCAAACUAAGUCAUAACUGCCAAACCACUGAGAAUCAUGGCCCAGCCAAGCUGACACACGAUGCUAACCAUCACAGGGGGCCAGGGCCAGAGCUGAAAUAGAGAUCUGGAGACCUGAAGCCUCUUCAUAGUCUUCCUGUGUGAGUGUGGCAUACAGGAACCAGGUAGUAAAUGGAAUCCUGGGCCAGGGUCCCACCACUGUGGGCCCACUGGAUCUGCAGGCCCAUCUGGGGUCAUUUCCCUGGUCCCUGAGUGUUCAACUGGGAUAGACAUACUUGGACAUUGGUGUAACCCAUACAUUAGGCCCUCACAGUGGCGUCACUAAGGAGGUGCGGGUGCGAGGGGGUGCAAACUGCAGAGGAUGACACCAUCAGAGCGGGUAAACACUUCCAGCAGCGCCAAGUGUGACGCCAGGCCAGCCUCCGUGCAUGGAACUGCCACCAUCUUGGGAGCACUGCAGAGUUUUCAGACCUUCAGGGUCCAGACUGUCACCAGGAGGAGGGGAAAGCCAGGAGGCAGGGAGGGGUCUGUGCAUGCGCUCAGGGAAGUGGUGCGUGGGAAGCAAUGGGGGGCUCGGCCUGCCCCUCCUUCCCCCAUCCUUCUACCAGGUGUGUGGGGGGGGCGGGUGAUAGAUUUCGUCUAGCAUGGCUACAAGCAUGCGCUGUUGCUGUUUUCGUUGCUGGUGGGGGGGUGGGUGACACCAGCCCUGGGUGUCUCCAACACCAGUGACACCACGGGGUGCUUGGCCUGUGGGGAGGAUGAUGGAAAUUACUGCCACCCUUAAGGAAGACUACAUGAGUCAGGAAACCACGGGGUGGGGGCAGGAGUGAUUCCACCUACUGUCACUCCCAAGGAACCCACAAAUCUGGACUGCAGGAUGAGAGGUCCUGUUUCCCAAAGGGAGAACACUUCCACUAGGGGACACAGCAAUUGCCCACUAAGCAAUCGAUGGUUGUCUCCUGGGCACUUUGGGUCCUUGUGUCACCAUCCUGCAGAGGUGAUUUACUGUGAUCAUUGGAAAGCGAUAGGGCCGUUGUCACCUUAGAGGGUCAAGGAGGGAAACGCUUGGCACCCAGGUGAUGUACUUGGGUGCCAUUUGUUCCUGCCUUGCCCAAACAUGAGUCAAUGGGCAAAGCAGCACCUCCAGCCUGAAAAGGACAUGGGAACCAGACCCCUUCCUGAAAGAAUUAUUGCCCAGUUGGUGGGAGUGCUGUCAGCUUGCAGCCUUCAGGUGUCAGCCCUCUUAGGGAUUACUUCAGCUACAGAGAACUGCCUUGCCCAGGGCCCUUCCUGGGGUGGCUCUUUGAUGGAGGCAAAGGAAUAAAGGCCUGACCAUUUCAGCCCAGUAUAGUCAACUUGGACAGCCA